rnacentral:misc_RNA from 1 species
UUUGAUGGGCUGUUCAAAUGCAUGUUUCAUUUAAUCUUCAUUGCAUUGGGGUUAAUCCCAAUCACGUCAAUUUAAAUGGAGAGAAACCUGAACAAUAUUACAAUGGAACAAUCAGACAUAUGUAAACAAUUUCAAUACAGUUCCAGGGAAUCUGGACAUGAGGGAUUCCAACCUGCAUCUCAAGCAUUUAUGCUAGAUGCUACAAGCAGCAGAAAUAAUAAUAUGAGACUUCCUGACCGAAAUGUAUCAGAGGUUAAACCUGUACUCAACUAUUCCAUACAAACAGGCGAGGAGUUUGCUUUUGAAUUUAUGCGUGA